rnacentral:rRNA from 1 species
CCUACGGGAGGCAGCAGUGAGGAAUAUUGGUCAAUGGGCGCGAGCCUGAACCAGCCAAGUAGCGUGAAGGAUGACUGCCCUACGGGUUGUAAACUUCUUUUAUAAAGGAAUAAAGUGAGGCACGUGUGCCUUUUUGUAUGUACUUUAUGAAUAAGGAUCGGCUAACUCCGUGCCAGCAGCCGCGGUAAUACGGAGGAUCCGAGCGUUAUCCGGAUUUAUUGGGUUUAAAGGGAGCGUAGAUGGGUUGUUAAGUCAGUUGUGAAAGUUUGCGGCUCAACCAUAAAAUUGCCGUUGAAACUGGAAGACUUGAGUGUGUUUGAGGUAGGCGGAAUGCGUGGUGUAGCGGUGAAAUGCAUAGAUAUCACGCAGAACUCCGAUUGCGAAGGCAGCUUACUAAGCCAUAACUGACACUGAAGCACGAAAGCGUGGGGAUCAAACAGGAUUAGAUACCCUUGUAGUC